GUCCUCGUUUGAAAACCACGUCAGUCUCCUCCGCCGCCGCUUACUCAGCCGGAUCCCACCGACAUGUCCUCCUCCGCCGCCGCGGCCAAAGAACUAUCUUUGAUCUCAUAACCAAAAUGGAGGGAAGUCUGAUCUUGAUGCUGAGAAUAGUGAGAGGAUCCCUCCAUCAUGUUGACAUGGUAAUAGUUCCUCGAAUCAUAAGUUGGAAGAGUAUCAAAUUCCGUGCCAGUCGACUCAAUAAUCUCUUGCUGUGCUCGCUCACUCUCUGCUACUGCUACCUGAGAGUUUCGAAGCAGAUCGAGAUACAAGAUAGACAGAAACAUCUCAGUUUUUUUUUUCAGUUACAGCAUUUGCUUGAUGUUACCUUGGCUCUUAAGUAUACAUUAUCAUUCUGAAGCUCCACUUCCUGUAUGAUUUUGAAAAGAGAAGGAAGAGCAAGAACAGAUGAAAGCUUUUGGAUUAA